CCUGAUUUUUUUCAAACUCAGCCCACUGCCGAAGUAGAGAUGUUCUUUGCAGGUCUGGCUGUUUAUGCUCCUGGAAGCCCAGCUGUGUUCACCACCAGCCCUGAAAUGGCCCCCAGAACAAAGAAGAAUAUAACCCCAAGGUUUAGCCACGACGCACUGGAGUCUUUAAUAGAGGUGUCUGCCAACUCCAGGAUGUCCUUUACCUGAGAGAUGGUUCCAGGAGGGACCAUCACCUCAUCGGCCUGGAAGGUGGUUGCAAAGGACGUCUGUGUCAUGGGCAACCACCAACAAAAUGCCCUGCAGUGCCAGAAGAGGAUGAAUGAUCUAAUUCACACUGCCAGGGCCCAGAUGACAGGUUGUGAAGGGAGCAACAGACUACAAUGAUGCAGGACACCCUUUGUGCAGAGUACUGCAGAGCCCCACCUAUAGGUUCAAACAUCAGAAGCACAUCUUCAGGAUCCCAAUGUGAUGGAUCUUGUCGCAAAGUGCGCCAUGUUGUAUCUCUUCUCUAAGACGCUUUGAGGAUGACACACAGGCGUCAUGAGCCACCUGUUCAGCCCUUGUCACCCAGCAGCCAACCCUGUAAGCGCUAUGACCCUUUGAAUAUCUGUGGCACCUGGGAGUGACUCAGGGUGUAGGAGUCAUGAGAACUCCCAGAAUACCUGACACAAACAUGCAUGAUGUGCUUCUGAUGAUCGUGAACCAACUAAACGUUGAGGGAGUGGAACCAUUUCCAGUUAAAUAAAGAUCAGGGACUGUUGCCAUGGAGCUCUUCAAGUGGCACGUGUGCAAUCGACCUGUACUCUAGGGAAGACUCAGACAGCCGCAAAUCCAAAUAUCUAGCAGCCUGGUUAGCGUCAUCCAUUGCAGAGUUUACAUAAUGGUGAGCCUUACUGUAGAGGUGUAGAGGGCAUCUGUCCCCUCCUUUAUUCAUUUAUGUGUGGAGGACUGAGAGAUCCUGCAUGGGUCCCCUGUGGAUCCCUGGACCAGCCGCUUGCAAAUAUCUUGAGUGUGGAGGUGACCUUCGAGGCCAUUGGCAGAGGAUGGCCUCCCAGUCCAUGUGGUAUUAGAUCCUCCCACAGAAUGUGAUAGAUAUGAUCCACCAGAUCUCUUGACAAUCGCAGACAUGUGCGGUACUCUCUCAUUCAUCUCCAAAUAGGAGAGGUAUCUUUGGUAAACCUUUGGUCGUGCCAGUUGUGUCUGUGGGAUGAGUCUAACUUCUUCAGCCUCUGGUUCUUCCUUGGGCUCCCCAUGGUGCAUGGACCAUGCACCUCAGGCCAGGGGUCUUCUCUAAGCUGUGUUAGACGGCAUCAGGCCCUUCUUCUCCUCCUCAAUCUAAGUACUGCCAUCAAGAAGGCAACAUUGAGCGCAGCCUCUAUUAUUAAAUUCUCCUUCUCCCUAUUGACAGAUAGAUCCAACAGAUGAAUUUAGAUUGACCAACUAUAGUAGACAGCCCACUCUUAGCCAGAAAGCCACUGUCAUGUCCUAGUGCUGUAUCUAUGCUACUCGCCUUUCCCUGUCAUGCCCUUGUGGCUGUGGAACUCCCUCACAGAUUAUGGGUGCCAAAGAAGCCACCCCAACAACCUGACCUCUCAAGCCCAUAGAGGAUAGAAGAGGCUUGGGCACAGCCAUACUAUGGUCAACCUCACUAAAAGCACUCAUAUGAUCCCUAAUUUGAAUUAGAGAUUAAGCUUGCCUUGCACUAUUUGAAUGACUGAAUGCCUUUUGGCCCCUAACCCAUGUCAAUUGGACAAUGUGCUUUUCAGGGUUUAAUUGAGCAUCCUGCAGAUAUCCAGCAGCUGUGCUCCCUUAAUGGCUGGAUGCCUUUUCCCUUCUCACAUCCCUGACAUUUAAAUGCUCAAUUAGACUACUUCGAAUAUGAUCCCAUUGACUGUUGUUGUCUCGUGUAAAAGUGCAUCAUUAUAUUGCGCCACUAACUCAGUUCUCAAUAAAGUCUUCAUGAUUUCUA